UGGUUGCUGCCGUCCUGCUCCCCUCUCCGGCUUCCCCGGUCUGAACUCGCCGCCACCCGCCUCUCGCCUGCCUCCGGGGUCCGUGCCUCGCCGACCACUCGCCGUCGCCGAGUCCCCCUUGUCUCCGUGCCCCCGCCGCGCCAUUCCCCACGCGCUGCUUCACCGCACCUAGCCGCCCAGUCCUGUCUGCGGCGGUCGGCGGUGUGCAGGCGUGCACCCCGCCCUGCACUACAUCAGCAGCCACCAGCUACCGGCCAGCCCUCCCACCGUCCCACGACUAAACGCAAAUUCACAGGUAGAGUCCACCUGUUUUAAAUUCCUAGAUCUGGCUAGCGGAGAGCGGAAGGGGAAGCCGACGGCGACCGCGCCCCCGUGAGAUGGGAAUGGAGGAGUCGGCGGGGGGUGCCGCGAGGCAGGCCAAGGAGUCGCUGGAGCUGGCGUUCCAGAUGUCCCAGAUCCUGGACACCGGCCUCGACCGCCACACCCUCUCGCUGCUCAUGGCGCUCUGCGACCGCGGCGCCAACCCGGAGGCCCUCGCCGCCCUCGUCCGCGAGCUCUCCUCCGCCGCUCCGCCGUCUGCCGCCGCCACCGCACCCGCCUCCAACACCACAGCGGCCCCGGCCACCCCCUCGUUGUUCCCCUCCGGCUUUCGCCAGCUCUAGGCUACUAGGGUACAUGCACGGAUGUUCCAACAACUGCUGGAUACAUCAUAUUCAAGGACAUCAUUCGACUUCACCCUUUACAGGUACCGAAAACUGGACGCAACUGAAGUUCUUGAUUUGAAGUCGGACCAAAUCUGAUACUUGGCUUGCUGGAAGAGACGGAUUAGCUUUGGUCAGGAGGAAGCAAAUCUUGCUCUGCGAUGCACUUGUGAUGUUGUUUCCACCAGAAAAAGUUGUCGCUCAUUGAGUUCCUGUAAAUUGGCAUCUUUCUUUGCUUGACUUGGACACUACUGUACUAAUCAUGAUGGCCACUGCCACUGCCCCUUCAUUCAUAGUCUUCUUAUAUUCC